rnacentral:sRNA from 1 species
UUUUUCCUUACAUGCCCAUGCUUGCUUUUUAUAGCAAAUUCUAAGACUGUAAUAGAAUUUUGAACAUCUGAACUAUUUUAUUGGUGAUCAAGUUAACAAGUUAAUAAGUUAAAUUUGAUUUCUAUACAUGGCUAAAUUACGAUGUACUUAAAAGCAAGCACAAAAUAUGUGUUAAUUCCACGUUGAACAUCAGCAAAUUAUGAUCUCCAAAUUACGCGCAUCAUAUUGUCGUCAUUUUGUGCAUAUUCAUCCAAAUGUUCUGAAUUCUGUCGUGCCAUAAUUUUUCGAAUGAGAAUAUUUUUAUUAAAUUAUACAUAUUGUUGAAAGCCUGGAAGAUGCUAUGUGUCUCAGAUACGAGUUUGUUCGAUUUGAAUUCUUUUUUGUCGUUUAUGUGUUACCUCUAAACGUUUUCAACUACUGCCAUUUCGUUUCAUGUUCAUGUUUGAAUAUAUUUUUUUUUUGUUUUAAGAUUUCAUAGCUUCUCUUUAGUUUAAGCACCCGAUCACUCUGCCUACACAAUUAAUUGUUGAUGCACAUUUAACUUCUCUGCCUCGUUUUAAAAUUUAUUAUUAUUUUCAUUGAUUUGUUGUUUUUUUCCUCCAGAACUUGUGUUUCACCGUUUGAACAAAAAGUGUUGUGGUUAUUUUGUUUAGAUUAUAAUCAACGAAGACCUAUAUAUGCCGCUAUGAAACAGUCGUUAAUAUUUACCCUAAAGUUACGUAGAGAGAUUCGGGUUUUUCAGCGGGGGUUUUUCCAUGCAGUUUUUUGUGUUUUUAUAUUUAAUAUACUACCUCUAAACUAGCUUUUUAACCACUGGAAAAUAUAAAAACUACGACUGGAUGAAAUUUAUUUCAAAAACUAGAAAUGGUUAAAAGUUCAAUACAUGGAACAACCCCAGCAUGACGAUGGUUUCUAUAUCCUUUCUUCUUUGAGAAUCUUUAAGGGAGGUCAACGAAAUUCCAUUUUUUUUAUUAUUAAUCGAUCGCAAAAGCAUGAACAUUCGGACAAAUGACAUCCCUUUAAGAUCCUGAACUUUCAUUGGACCCAUCGUUUUCACUGUACAUUUGAUGUACGUUUCUCGUCCAAUUACUAAGCUUGUUGUAUUUAAACUAUGAAUGUUUGUAUGGAAGUACAAAGUACAGUGUAAAAUUUAAUAAACAUUUUAUCUCUUCGGC